rnacentral:rRNA from 1 species
UACGUAGGCAGCGAGCGUUGUUCGGAGUUACUGGGCGUAAAGGGUGUGUAGGCGGUUGUUUAAGUUUGGUGUGAAAUCUCCCGGCUCAACUGGGAGGGUGCGCCGAAUACUGAAUGACUCGAGUGUGGGAGAGGUGAGUGGAAUUCCUGGUGUAGCGGUGAAAUGCGUAGAUAUCAGGAGGAACACCGGUGGUGUAGACGGCUCACUGGACCAUAACUGACGCUGAGGCACGAAAGCUAGGGGAGCAAACAGG